AGGAGCAGAGAAAGAGGGUGAAAACCCUAGCUUCAUGAAUCAAGCAAUUGAAUGCUUAAAUCAAAAGAAAAUCUGAUGCAUGAGCUCAAAUUUCGAAUAGCAAGUUCCAAUUUGUGAAGUGGCGUUAAAGAAGAAGGCUCAAACACUAAGAAAAUGGGAGACUCGCAAGAUCGAGAUAAAUCCUCAAUCUAGGCGGUCGGACGAUUUGGAGCGAGCACAUGCACACUUAAUGACCAUUAAGCGCUUCCGCUAUUUCGUAUUAAUGUUUUGGGUCAAAAAGCUUGUUUUGUAUGUCCUUGUCAGUAGUUGCACUUUUUAAUACUUGAUGUUAUGGUUUCUUUUUUUUUAAGUCGUGUCUAGUCGAAAGGGUUGUAGAAGUAUUUGUUUUGAUAAUGGUUAAAACAGGGAUAUGCUCGUCUUAUGGACGGGUCAUGCCCAAAUUUUGUUAAAAAUUGUGCAUUAAUGAUAUUAGUAUCGUUACC